rnacentral:rRNA from 1 species
UACUUUGUUUUUUCUUUACAGCUGACAGCCCUGCAAUCUGGGAAGCUAAGCAGAAUUGGGUCUGUUUAGUACUUGGAAAGGAGACAGUUUGAGAAUACCCACCAGUACUGUAG